rnacentral:rRNA from 1 species
UACGUAGGGCGCGAGCGUUGUCCGGAAUUAUUGGGCGUAAAGGGCUCGUAGGCGGUCUGUUGCGUCAGGAGUGAAAACUCGGGGCUUAACCCCGAGCCUGCUUCUGAUACGGGCAGACUAGAGGUAUGCAGGGGAGAACGGAAUUCCUGGUGUAGCGGUGAAAUGCGCAGAUAUCAGGAGGAACACCGGUGGCGAAGGCGGUUCUCUGGGCAUUAACUGACGCUGAGGAGCGAAAGUGUGGGGAGCGAACAGG